CCUACGGGUGGCUGCAGUGGGGAAUAUUGGACAAUGGGCGAAAGCCUGAUCCAGCCAUGCCGCGUGUGUGAAGAAGGCCUUCGGGUUGUAAAGCACUUUCAGUGGGGAAGAAAGCCUUGGGGCUAAUACCCUCGAGGAAGGACAUCACCCACAGAAGAAGCACCGGCUAACUCCGUGCCAGCAGCCGCGGUAAUACGGAGGGUGCGAGCGUUAAUCGGAAUUACUGGGCGUAAAGCGCGCGUAGGCGGUCUGAUAAGCCGGUUGUGAAAGCCCCGGGCUCAACCUGGGAACGGCAUCCGGAACUGUCAGGCUAGAGUGCAGGAGAGGAAGGUAGAAUUCCCGGGGUAGCGGUGAAAUGCGUAGAGAUCGGGAGGAAUACCAGUGGCGAAGGCGGCCUUCUGGACUGACACUGACGCUGAGGUGCGAAAGCGUGGGUAGCAAACAGGAUUAGAUACCCCUGUAGUC
rnacentral:rRNA from 1 species